AAGUGGGAAACGAUGUGGGAAGGCCCAGACAGCCAGGAUGUUGGCUUAGAAGCAGCCAUCAUUUAAAGAAAGCGUAAUAGCUCACUGGUCGAGUCGGCCUGCGCGGAAGAUGUAACGGGGCUAAACCAUGCACCGAAGCUGCGGCAGCGACACUGUGUGUUGUUGGGUAGGGGAGCGUUCUGUAAGCCUGUGAAGGUGUGUCGUGAGGCAUGCUGGAGGUAUCAGAAGUGCGAAUGCUGACAUAAGUAACGAUAAAGCGGGUGAAAAGCCCGCUCGCCGGAAGACCAAGGGUUCCUGUCCAACGUUAAUCGGGGCAGGGUGAGUCGACCCCUAAGGCGAGGCCGAAAGGCGUAGUCGAUGGGAAACGGGUUAAUAUUCCCGUACUUGGUGUUACUGCGAAGGGGGGACGGAGAAGGCUAUGUUGGCCGGGCGACGGUUGUCCCGGUUUAAGCGUGUAGGUGUGUGUUCCAGGUAAAUCCGGUUCACUUUAACACUGAGGCGUGACGACGAGGCACUACGGUGCUGAAGCAACAAAUGCCCUGCUUCCAGGAAAAGCCUCUAAGCAUCAGGUAACAUCAAAUCGUACCCCAAACCGACACAGGUGGUCAGGUAGAGAAUACCAAGGCGCUUGAGAGAACUCGGGUGAAGGAACUAGGCAAAAUGGUGCCGUAACUUCGGGAGAAGGCACGCUGACACGUAGGUGAAGUGAUUUACUCAUGGAGCUGAAGUCAGUCGAAGAUACCAGCUGGCUGCAACUGUUUAUUAAAAACACAGCACUGUGCAAACACGAAAGUGGACGUAUACGGUGUGACGCCUGCCCGGUGCCGGAAGGUUAAUUGAUGGGGUCAGCGCAAGCGAAGCUCCUGAUCGAAGCCCCGGUAAACGGCGGCCGUAACUAUAACGGUCCUAAGGUAGCGAAAUUCCUUGUCGGGUAAGUUCCGACCUGCACGAAUGGCGUAAUGAUGGCCAGGCUGUCUCCACCCGAGACUCAGUGAAAUUGAACUCGCUGUGAAGAUGCAGUGUACCCGCGGCAAGACGGAAAGACCCCGUGAACCUUUACUAUAGCUUGACACUGAACAUUGAGCCUUGAUGUGUAGGAUAGGUGGGAGGCUUUGAAGUGUGGACGCCAGUCUGCAUGGAGCCGACCUUGAAAUACCACCCUUUAAUGUUUGAUGUUCUAACGUGGACCCGUUACCCGGGUUGCGGACAGUGUCUGGUGGGUAGUUUGACUGGGGCGGUCUCCUCC
rnacentral:rRNA from 2 species